UACAGAGGUCCCAAGCGUUGUUCGGAUUUACUGGGCGUAAAGGGCGCGUAGGCGGCCUCUGCAAGUCGACUGUGAAAUCUCCGGGCUUAACCCGGAAAGGUCAGCCGAUACUGCAGGGCUAGAGUGCAGAAGGGGCAACUGGAAUUCUCGGUGUAGCGGUGAAAUGCGUAGAUAUCGAGAGGAACACCUGCGGCGAAGGCGGGUUGCUGGGCUGACACUGACGCUGAGGCGCGAAAGCUAGGGGAGCGAACGGG
rnacentral:rRNA from 1 species